rnacentral:lncRNA from 1 species
UUCAAAUGGAUUUACAACUAGAAAUGACAGACACAAGGGCUGCACUAUGACUUUUGGGGACUCUAGCCACUUUUGCCAUCAUGGGCCCUUUCUUCCAUAAAAAAUAUUUUAAAUGGUAUUUCAUGACUAACUACACAGGCUUAAAGAUGAGUAUAAUUCAAGCUGGACUGUAUUUUUUUUCUUCUGACUUUAAAAGAAAUUAAAACCUCUUCAUGGACCACUAAUAACAUCGUGAGCCUUGGGCACUCUGUGUAUUGCACCAAAUGGAUAAGUCAGCUCUGGACAAACUUGUACCAAGGCAAUAUAUUUCCUCACUUCAGGAACCAGCAAGAACUAACACUAAGGAGAGGCCACUUCUUCUACAUUCUGAAAUUCUGAUUAUUAAAGUCCGAUAAUGAGUCCCAGUGUGUCGUGGUGGCCAAAGACCAUAUAUGAUAUCUCCUGUCUGGAUGGAGGUUACAUUCAUCAAUGACAUAGCAAUUGUCCUACCUCUACAGCUGUGUCCUCAUCACUCAUGUAUAGUCAUUCAGAAACAGUGUGGAGACCAAGGCAGGCAGAUCACUUGAGGUCAAGAAUUCGGAGAGGAAGGAGUAAGUUGAAGAAAGACAAGGAUGACAAACAGGAGAGAGUAUGGGGUGUCUCAGCACUGCCAACUGGGAACUGAGCUUUGCACUCCCCAUGACAGAUUGGAGCUAAUGGCUGAGAAAUAUGAUCCUGAAACUAUCCCCUAAAUGCCAGUUCAAAGAGUCCUCCUUCUCACACAAUGACUCAGUGGAGGGAGGCGGCAAUCUGAACUUGAUGAUGGAACGACAAGGCAAGUGUCGGUUUGUUUUUCCUAUCAGGUGUCGACUUCGCGGAAAGCUCCAUCUCAAUUGCCAUGAGUCAAAACUUGAUUGCUGAGAGCAAGAAAGAUGGGUACAGCAGGAGUCGCGUACUUAGUCACCCAUACAUGUUACAAAGUUCAUUCAGAGUGUCCUGGGGUCUUCAGCUUCAACAGCAGCACCUCAGAAAAUGUCCAAAGGGCAAUUUUCCCACAGUAUCUGGGAUGACAAGAACCAUCCUCAGAUUCUGGACCGGCUCUAACUUGGCAAGUUAGACUAGAAUCACAUGCACAGUCCCUGGUGUGGUCUCUACUUGACUACUGUCCUAGGAGCCAAAUAAUUGGUGUAGUCAAUGUGCUUUACUUGGGGGAGGAAGGGGUUGAUAGUGAAAAGAUAUGAACAAUUAAGAAAAGAGAUUAAUUUUAAAUUAAGCUGAAUGUCAAGAAGAUUAGCGUAACUCUGACUUCUUUACCAGAAACAGACUUCUAAAAUGAGACUUAAUCUAAAGACAUAAAUAAAAAAUAUCCCUUUAAAUGAUGUAUGGAAAUAUGAGCGGACAUCGAGUGAGGAAGGCAGGCAGUUGUGCUGGAUCUAAGUAAGUAGGUGUUCUGCAAAUCAAUCCACUUCACAGAGUCAUUUGUGGAGCUAUUGUUCAGGAUAUUUGUAUUUGAAUAGAGCUUGUCUCUCUCCUCACCCUGCCUCUCUAUCCCAGGAGUCUAGAAUGAAGGCACAAACUUCCACCAGGAUGACUGUGGCUGGUUGCCAUGGAAAUAGCGAGAAGGCACUGGAUUCAGCAUUUGACUUCACUGUGGAUCACAAGCCCAAGCAUGAAGACUGAGUCGCGUUUAACUAAGAGACUUGCUAAUUAAUGGAGCGCCAGGUACAGCUUAAAGAGAAAGUCACACAGUAGAUAAAGCUAAGUUUUCAGGGCUCUCAAAAGAAAUAAUCGCAGCCCCAAGCGGACUGUGGAAGAGAAUGCUUUCUCCUCUGAGAUCUAUCUUCUUUUGAGUUCUGACGGCCACUUUUCCCUGACUCUCUGGAGGGAGGUGGAAAUGGAGCCAUUUAGGAAACCUUCCAGCUAAUUGAAUUCAAGAAGUCCAUCUACGGACAAAUGGAUAAAGAAAAAGUGGUAUAUAUGCACAAUGGAAUACUAUUUGACCAUAAAAAAGAAUGAAAUACUGUCAUUUGCAGCAACAUGGAUGGAACUGGUGGUUGUUAUGUUAAGAGAAAAAAGCCAGGCACAGAAAGACAAAUGCUGCAAAUUCUCACUAUGUGCAAGUUUAAAAAAAUGAUCGCAUGGAGAUAGAGAAUACAAUGAUAAAUACUAGAGGCUGGGAAGCGUGUGUGAGUCAGUGGGGAAGGAUGAAGAGAGGUUGGUUAGUGUGUUAGAUGGAAGUUAGAUAGAAGAAAUAACCCCAAUAUUUGAUAGCAGAGUAGGAUAACUACAGUCUGCAACAAUGUAAUAUAUGUUUUCGAGUAGCAAGAAGAGAGGGCUUGAAAUGCUCCCAACACAUAAAAAUGAUAAACACUCAAGGUGAUGGACACCCCAAAUGCUCUGACUUGAUCAUCACACAUUCUAUGCAUGUAACAAAUAUUCACAUGUACCCCAUAAAUAUAUAACAUUUUGUAUGAGUAAAAAAAAAAAAAAAAAGAGAGAGAGAGAAAGAGAAAUGAAAUGGCACAACUAAAUCCUCAAAAGGCGACGGUGAUUUUCCCAGCCCUGAUCUCACUCUGCCUCUUUGUCUCUGGGGGGCAGGUUCUUGGAAGGAGACAGUUUUGGGAAGACACCUCCACUACCCUGCUAUGCACUGCCUCCCCUCCCUUCUCAUUCAUAGCUCUUCCCCUAGCAAAAUACAAGUUCACCACCGCCUCCCCUUGGUCUUCUUCCUCCCUCGCUUCCUGGCCCAUUUGCAAGGCCAUCUCUUGACCAGCCAGCAGAAAUGCAAGAGCAUCUGGUGUAGCAGAGUCCGUUUGAAUAAAAUGUGAAAGCACAGUUGUACUCCAGUCAGUGCACAAAUACCAGCUGGUGGAAGUGGAAUAGGAAAAUCAUUUCCUCACUGGUAGCCCAUUUUUAAACACUUCAUAACGAAUGAAGAAGAUUGAAUUGGUCAUUUAAAAGAUAGCAGAUUUCAUUCCACAAAUGCCUUCUGAGUGCCAUUUACUGAACUGGGUGCUGGGGAGGUUUCUUAGGUAAAUCAGACAGAUUCCUACUGUCAAUUACACAAUUGUCAAGCAGACAAUUCCUGCAUCACAUGGAAGGAAUAAGCCUGAGAUGCCUGGUGAGAUGGAAUCUAAAUAGCAUGCCAGCCUCCUCUUCUGCGUCUAGAGGUGAAGUCACCCGAAGACAUAGUUUAACAUUCACAGGGUGCGCCUCCGUGCUGAACACAUAUGGUUGAAUUUGGCUCAUAAAGGUGUGUUGUGCUACAGCACUGGAUAGAAGUUCUGCUGAGCUUCUGCUGGGGUCUAGGGCCACUGUGGGCAGUGUAGCAGCUAUUGCAGUGUGCGGCUAUGGUGAGAGGCCACUCCAAGUCCAGCCCGUUGGUAAGGUAGCCAAGCUUUACUAACAAGGGCUUACUAACGGGCUGAGCUGAUGACAUAUAAAACCUGUGAUCCUUUAGCUCCAGUUUAGGGUCCCACUAUGGCCUGGGCAGGGAUUUGGACCAGCUGAGGCGUGGCCAUAACAGCAGAAAAGCAUCCACCUGGCUGUGCAUGACAAGGGUUCCAUAAUAAUCCCACGUGGGAACAACUAAAGCCACAAUGGUAAUAGACUGACCAGAGUGACCUCUUUCUCCUGGCACACAGAAGCAAAACUAACCUCUUUUAAAUAAAACUUCAAGUGUUAACAAUUUGGGGUGGAAAAGAGGUCUCAAAGGUGAGAUAACUGACUUUCUGCUAAUAUAAACACAUGAGUGCUCAAUUAAUUGGAUAAAUAAAAGAGUAAAAGCCAAAAUCCUUUCACUGGUCUACCGGAUCUCUUGUAUACUGCCCUCUCUCUGAUCUCAUUUCUGAUCUGCUUAACCGUGCUCACUCAGCACCAGGCAAGGCAGCCUCUUUCCUGUUUCUCAAACAUGCUCUCACCUCAGGGCCUUUGCACUGCUGAUCCCUGUGCCUGAAAUACUCUUCCUGAGUGCUUCACCUGUCGGGACUCUGCUCAGACGUUACCUUAUUGGUGGUCUUCCCUUGCAACCUCAUAGCACUCCCUCCUGCCAGCAUUCUCUCUCUUUCCAUCCACUUUUGCUUUUACCCACAGAACGAAUCACUAUCUCAUAUUACAUAUUUACCAGCUUAUCACCUCUUACCCCUAUUUGAAUAUAAGUUUCACAAGGGCAGAGGCUUUAUUUCUUACUGUUACACUAGCACUCAAAAUUGUGUUUGGCCCACAAUAGGUGCUUAAUAAACAUUAGAUGUUGAAGGAGAUGUGAAUCUAUUUGUACCCCAAUUGUGGGGGUUGCAUUCAUACAUGUAACAAAUAAAUACUAACAUAAGAUAGGGUCAUAAGAGUGAGCCAGAUAAAAUGUUCUCAGAAUCUAGAAGAAGGAGAGAGAAUUCCAACAGAAAGAAAUCAAGGAACAGUUCAUGGAGAAGGGACCAUUUGAUCCGUAAAAGAUGGAUUGGAUUUGAACAUUUGGGGAUGGGAGGGAAGUUUCAGUGAAGGACAUUAACAUGAGCAAAUGCAUAGAGGUAUUAAGAACAGCUUCUUUUAGCUAGAACAGAGGAGUACAGAAAAGAUGGUCUAAAAGGUAAUGAGCUUAGAUUUUGAAGGGCCUUGCUCUCUAUUCUCUGAAAAUUAAUUAAUUAUAAUUCUGUAAAGUCUGUAAUUAUACACCAGAGACUGAUGUGUAAAACAGGUACAAAUCAAAUUCAGAGCCAGCUAGGUAGGGCAAGGGGGAUACAGGCCUCCUAGACCACACACCCACUCUCCUUUCUAUGAACCCCUAGGGCACUGCUGUUCAGAGUCUAAAAAUUACUGUUCUAUAAAUAGAGAGCUAUCAGAGGUGUUUGGGCUGGGGAGAAACUGGAUUAGAGCUAUGUUUCAAAAAGAUUAAUCCAGCAACCAAAAGACAAAUUGGAGAGGGAAGGCACUAGAUGCGGGAAAACCAGUUAUGGUACUCUUGCCACUGUCUGGAUGAGAGGUAAUGAAAGGCACAACUUAGGCAGGUGAAUCACAAAUUCAUGAAUUAGGACUCUGGCAACAUGAGAAAAUGACUAUGAGGGAGAACACCUGGAUUGGGUGGUAGGGUUGGGGAAGCUGACUCAGGUGGUAGGUGUCCAAUGGGCACCAGAAGCUCAGGUUGACUCAUGCCUGUACCAAUAUCUCUGAGUUAGGAAGAUACGAGCAUCCAGGACUGUUACAGAUCUUGCAGAUGUUCAUGUCGUUCUUCCAGGUCAACUAUAUUCACUGCAGGAUCAAGUCAUCACUUUGGAAUAUGGGAAAUCAAGAAAACAAAUCCAAAAUCCAGGGAAAAUCUUAGAGCUCAAAAAGCUAAAGUCCCCAGUUCAUCUCCCAAAGUCAGACUGCUGAGCCUGGUCGGAGAAAAUCACACAGCUCUGCAUACAGGUGCUACUAAAGUGUAGUCUUUAGGUUGUUUGAGGACAUGAAGUCUUCCUAUGUGUCCUUUAUCAAUUUAUUCUUCUACCCACUUGACAAAAUAUUAGUACUCUCCUCGAGCCCCUACUCUACUACUUUGCCUCUGAUUUUCAGCAGACAGCCAUGUUCCUUCUCUCUGGGAUUGAUGAAUUCCAGCCCAAUAUUUUAAAUGCUGUCUCAGGGGUGAAGUUUCCACAAUCUGUAACUCUUCCCAUGAUCUCUUCUCUGUGUCCAAAACUACUUAUCUAUCUAUUGAAUAUUCCACAGACACCUCAAAAACAGCCUGGCCUAAACAGACUUGAUUUCUACCCUUAAAUCUAUUCCUCCUCAUCUCUUUUUCUAUCAUAGUAAAUGGCAACACCGUUUACCCAGAGGCACCAGCUUCACAGCUAGAAACUAUCUUAUUCCCUUUAGUGUUGCUACAAAGGGAUAUCUGAGGCUGGGUAAUUUAUAAAGAAAAAAAGAUUCAUUUGGCUCACGAUUCUGAUGUCUGGAAAAGUUCAAGAUUGGGCUCUGCAUCUGGGGAUGCUCUGAGGCUGGUUCCAGUCAUGGCAGGAGAAUGGGAACUGGUAUGUGUGGCGAUCACAUGGUGAGUGCUGAAGCAAGAGUUGGGGAGGUGCCAGGCUCUUUCUAAACCAGCUCUCAUAGGAACUAAUGGAGUGAGGACUCAUUAGCAUGAGAAAGGCACCAAGUCAUUCAUGAGGGAUUCACCCCCAUGAUCCAAACACAUUCUAUUAGGCUCCAACUCCAGAAUUUGGAUCAAAUUUAAACAUGAGCUUCAGAAGAACAAACAUUCAAACUAUGGCACCAUAGCACUAUCCUUGAUUCCAAUCCAUCAGCAAGUUUGGCCUACCAUAUAUAGAGAGAGAGAGAGAGUAAAAAAAUAUUUUACAUAUAUACACACACACAUGCUUCCCUCUCCAUGACAACAAUAACCCCUUAACUAAGCCACCAUCACUCCAUGCCUGGACCACACCCACAGUCUCUUAGCUGGUCUCUUUGUUAGCUCUCUGCCAUUCUCCCUCCAUUUCCCACACAUCCAGACAUCUCCAUGUAUUCAUCCUCAUCUCAAUUCACCUCUUAGCAGCGUUUAACACUAUUAGCCAUUUCCUCCUUUUUGAAUUCUUUGUUCCUUGGCUUCCAGACAUAUCAGUCUUCUGGCUUUCCUCCAACUGUGUGGGCCUUCUGUUUUUUAGGUUUGUCCUUGUCGUUUAGCUGUUAAAUAUUAAAGAUCCUCCAAGCUCUAUCCUAGACUCUCCUCCUCUUACUCUAUAUUCUCCAUGAUCUCAUUAGUGCCCACAACAUCAAUUAUGCUAAUGACUAUGCUGAUGACUAACAUAUUUGGAUGCCUAGCUUGCAUCUCUUCUUUGAGCUCCAGACCUAUAUAUUCAGCUGCCUCCUUGACAUCUCUUGAAUAUCUCAAAGUAUCUUAAAUUCAUCAUGGUAAAAACUAAGCUAAAAUCGAAUUCCUUCCCCAAACCUGGCCCUCUUCUAAGGCUUCUUAGCCCAGCACAAGGCCCUAGAGUCCAUGCAGUUUGCAUAAACCAGAACCAAGAGUCCCCCUUAACACCUGCCUCUCCCUCAUCCCUCAGGCCCAUGUCCUUAUAUCUAAUUUGAUGGCAAAUGGGGUAGCCACUUCCCAGCCUGGGUAAAUGUCUUAAAGUCUCUUGCCUUGGUUUUCACACCUGUGAAAUUGGUCUUAUAAAAGCACCUAUCUCAUAAGGCUACUAUAAACAGUAAAUGAGAUAAUAUACGUAAGGUAUUUAGAAUGGUACCUAGCACAUUAUUUUAAAAAAGGCAUUCAGCAACUGUUAAAUAUGAUUAUUAUCCAAUGCAUAAUGAAAUCCUGCCAAUAGUGCUUUUAAACAAAUUUUAAUCAGUUCAUCUUUUUCCUUGGGCACCUUUGCCACCCUAGCCUAAUCUAUCAUCACCACUUACUUGGACUACUGCAAUGCAGUAGACUCUUAACCGGCCCACUCUGUCCCUUUGCCCCCAUCUCUGCCACAAAAUAUCUCCUCCACAAUGCAGACAGAAUGGCCUCUUCAGAAUGCAAACCUGAUCACCUUACCUCCUACCUCUUCUCCCCCAAGUCCUCACAUUUUUCAGUGACUCCUUGCUGGUUUUGGGACAAAUAUGAAACUCCUCCUCAUGGCCCUGCCUGCCUCAGGCCCUGUCCACCUCUCCAGCUCACUCUCACCCUCUGCUCCUGACACGUUAACCUCCCUUAGACUCUUGUCUGGCCC